rnacentral:rRNA from 1 species
AGCCUGAACGCUGGCGGCGUGGCUAAGACAUGCAAGUCGUACGGGUGUAGCAAUACACCAGUGGCGGACGGGUGAGUAAUGUAUCGCUAACGUACCCCGAAAUCUGGGAUAGCCAUCCGAAAGGAUGGGUAAUACCAGGUAACAUCACCGGAUGGCAUCAUCUGGUGCUCAUAGGGUCACCGUUUCGGGAGCGGGCGAUAUCGUAUCAGCUAGUUGGCGGGGUAACGGCCCACCAAGGCGACGACGCGUAGCCGGACUGAGAGGUUGGCCGGCCACAUUGGGACUGAGACACUGCCCAGACUCCUACGGGGGGCUGCAGUAACGAAUCUUCCGCAAUGCACGCAAGUGUGACGGAGCGACGCCGCGUGUGGGACGAAGCCCUUCGGGGUGUAAACCACUGUCAGGGGUUAGAAAGUUCUGAUCGACCCCAGAGGAAGGCACGGCUAACGUCUGCGCCAGCAGCCGC